UCCACACCCAGUUUUGGUGUGAUGCCUCUUGUUGAGACUCCAAGUCCAGCUUGGGAGCGAUCAGUGACCAUGAUCACUCCAUCGGAGCUCACUGCACCUCCAAUGGAUAUCAAUCCUCCAGUUAAAAAGAUGAUAAACAAGACAAUCAAGGAAAAAUGAACUUACCAACGCAACUGGAAAACUUCUUUUUUCAUCUGAAAACAGCCGUCGUAGUCAGGAGGUACAAAUCUCAACAAGCGA